UCAAAACGACUUUCGGCAACGGAUAUCUCGGCUCUCGCAUCGAUGAAGAACGUAGCGAAAUGCGAUACUUGGUGUGAAUUGCAGAAUCCCGUGAACCAUCGAGUCUUUGAACGCAAGUUGCGCCCGACGCCUUCGGGGUGAGGGCACGCCUGCCUGGGCGUCAC
rnacentral:rRNA from 1 species